AGAAUACUGUAUUUCACUGAAUGCCAGAACAUAAGGCAUUCAAAUAAAAGGAAAUGUGGGUUUAACAGUAUCUUGCUGCAUCUAAAUCAAGUAGUUUAUGGAUAAGCACCAAAAGAUGAAUUAAAGGAACUGUCAAUUUGCCAGUGACCACCAUCUUGCAGUCCCCUCUUGAGGAGCAACUGUCUGGAGCACUUCAUUCUGCCAUGGUGUUUGGUUGUGUUUGUCAUGGAGCUGAUUUGCGUCCACCAUUUCUUCAGAAGAACAAUUUUGUAGCAUAUUUUUUAUCAGAAAAUACUCUUAAUUUCCAUUAUAAUAGUUUGGAAUAAUCUUCAAGCAUUUGCUUUUAACUUUUUCCUAAUUCUUUUUUUUUUUAAAGUUUACUCAAGUCAAAGUCUAACCAUGUUAGACUUUUUUGGUAGAUGUCCAACUAUUUCCAUAUCAAAGAUUACUCUUCUUUUACUGCUGAAUUAUUCCUUAUUAUAAAAAAUUUCAAGGGAAUAUUAGUUUUCUUAAGCUAGAAUUCUCCAUCAUAAUUUCAAGAAUUUCACAAUAUUGUAAUUACAAAUAAUAGAUAAGAAGAUUGAAAAGAAUUGGAGAGAUAAGCCAAGCUUCCUAAUGCCUACCAUAUACAAGUGAGUACAAUUUGAAUUAUUCUAGGUUAAUAAUGUUUUCCAAAUAUUUUAAGAAAAUAAAAAUGAAAUGCUCAGGAAUAUAUUUUAUUUGAACAAUUACAAAGGAUGACAAAUAGCAACUUCUUCUUUAAAUUCAACACCUAGUGAUAUUGUUAUGCAAAAUGAGAAAGCGGAGAAACACAGACUAUUGGAAUUUUUAAAAAUUAAAAUAACAUUUUUUCCUUAAUGUAAAGCCAAAUAAUAUUAAUUCAAAGCCAUCAAAAACAUUCCAAGGUCUGUAUGAGCAUACAUUCUAGUAAUCAUGCCUCUCUACCUACCUGGCAAUUUAGAAUGGACAGCCACCAAAAAGCAACAUCUGAAAGAGCAAAACCCAUAUUCUAAUUGUUUGCCAUAAAGAUAUAUAUUCUGCAAUACAUUAAAUGCAAUCUUUUGGUAUGAUUUCUAAAAAUAAUGUAUUUUCAUAUGUAUCCUUUCACCCAGACCCACAUAUUUUGUUUUCAAAUGUUUAAGGAGUUCUGGAUCUAUUUACUAUUCUCUAGAAAACUCUUCAUCAGCAUUCACAAUUGUUAUAAAUCAUGUUGGGUAUAUCCAGUACACUUUUUCUAGUAUUAGGUAUAUUGAUUCAGCAUUCCUGCUGCUGCAAACUAGAAACAAACAGUAGCAGAUUCAUGCAAAUGCAAAAACUGAG